CUCUGAAUGAAUACAAUUGACAACAAUAAUUUGAUAGCUUCAAAUAUUUUUGCCAAAUAUACAUUAAGAUUCAAUUGAAUUACUUAUACUACUUACCACAUUAUUCAUAGGUGCUCAGACCUUGCGGUUUAGUUUUCUAUGUUACAACAAACACAAAUAUACGCUUGUAUGCCUAUUUUCUGUUUUCCCGUUUGGAUUAACCUUAUAUAUAUAUAUAUAUAUAUAUAUAUAUAUAUAUAUAUAUAUAUACUUUAUUUAAAGCAGCAGAAAUUUAGCAAAAGCUGUUACUCGGAGAUUCACGUUCCCGUUCGUCGGACAUUUUAACAAAACUGUCCGACGAACGGGAACGUGAAACUCCGAGUAACAGCUUUUGUUAAAUUGCUGCUGCUUUUAAAUAAAGCAUAUUACUUUACCUCUGGUAUAUGAGUACCUUUUUUUCCACCUUGUUUCACAUUUAUGUGUUUACUCCGGUAUAUAUAUAUAUAUAUAUAUAUAUAUAUAUAAUUAGGGUCAUAUUACAUGUGCAAAUUUUAAUAUACACACAUACACACAUGCACCAAAAUAUGUAUACACGCAUACAAAUUAAUAUUCACACAUACACACAUGCACACAUAUUAAUAUACACACAUACACAGAUGCACACAAAUAUAUAUAUAUAUACAUAUAUACAUAUAUACAUAUACACAUAUACACAUCUAUCUAUCUAUCUAUCUAUCUAUCUAUCUAUCUAUCUAUCUAUCUAUCUAUCUAUCUAUCUAUCUAUCUAUCUAUCUAUCUAUCUAUCAAUCUACGUUAUCUUACAAUGACGUUUCCAGUUACUCAGUAUAUGUAUGUGUGUAUGUAUGCAUGCAAGUAUGUAUCUGUGUGUGUGUGUGUGUGUGUAUGUGUGUGUUUGUGUGUGUGUAUGUGUGUAUAUAACAUUUUAAUCGGCUAUAUUUAAAAGUUACUCAAGCGACGACAGGUUCGUGCAUGGGACUUAUUAAUUUGAAACGUUAAUAAGCGUCAGUCAAGAAACACUUCGCGUUUUGGGUGUUUUUGCAUCUCUUACUGAUUAAAAAGAAAAAAUAUAUAUAUAAGCAAACACACAGGCACACAGACACUGAUGCAUACACACACAAAGAGAAACGAGGACACGUGCGCGCACACAGACAACCAUAAACGGACACUCACGCACACACACACACAAACAUAUGCACACACAAACACAGACACAGACACAGACACACACACACACACAGACACACACACACACACAUAUAUAUAUAUAUAUAUAUAUAUAUAAACAAUGACUCAAGAGACGACAGUUUCGUGCAUGGUACUUAUUGAACUGCAGUGUCAUAGGCGGCAGUCAAGAAACACUACACAUAUAUAUAUAUAUAUAUAUAUAUAUAUAUAUAUAUAUAUAUAUAUAUAUAUAUACAUAUACAUAGUUACAUACACAUUCUUAUGUGUCUGUGGUCGCUAUGCUAGUAUGUAUGUAUGUAUGUAUGUAUGUAUGUAUGUAUCUAUCUAUCAUCUAUCUAUCUAUCUAUCUAUCUAUCUAUCUAUCUAUCUAUCUAUCUAUCUAUCUAUCUAUCUAUCUGUCUAUCUAUUUAUAUAUCUAUCUACCUGUCGAAUUAUAUGUAUAUGCACAUCUGCACACAUAUAUUUAUAGUUUUUGAUCAUUUUGUGCAUGGCAGAACUCAAUAGGCCUCGGUUUUUGUGUUAACAAUGAGUAGACUGUGCUAUACGAGGUAUAGCACAUCAACAGAAAUAUAACUUAUGGGACCUUGGUUACACAGACACAUAUAAAUAUAUAUACAUAUGUGUAUAUGUAUAUGCAUAUACAUAUAUAUAUAUAUAUAUAUAUAUAUAUAUAUAUAUAUAUAUAUACAUAUACAUACAUAUAUAUAUAUAUAUAUAUAUAUAUAUAUAUAUAUAUAUAUAUAUACACAUACACACAUAUAUGUGUGUGUGUGUAUUAUAUAUAUAUAUGUGUAAAACAAACAAAAAUUCACAUACAACACGUAGCUAAUUACUCAUGAGCCAUCGUCAAAAAGUUCAUAAAAAUUUCGCGCCUUUAACGAUGAUAUUGUGCACUUUUGGUGGUAUCAGCGGCGAGAAACCACCGAGGAUUCAAACUAACGUACAAGGCAAUGACGAUAAGAAAAGGGAUAAAGUGUGGAUAUGCGAAAAAAAAAAAAUUAUAGAUACAUGUAUGUAUGUAUGUAUGUAUGUAUGUAUGUAUGUAUGUAUGUAUGUAUAUAUGUAUGUACAUAUUUAUAUAUAUGUACAUAUAUAUAGGCACUUUUAUGUACACACACAUACAUAUAUCAGUGCAGUAAAGCAGCUCUUUGCAACGAAUGUGUUGCGAGUUCAAUGAGGAUGCACUGCACAUUGUCAAAGCGUCUUCUACUAUGGCGUCUAAUCGGCCAAUAAUUUGUGAGUGAAUCUUGGAUGAAAUUUGAGAUAUAUUCUUACACACUUAUAUACAUGUUUAUAUAUAUAUAUAUUUGUAUGU
rnacentral:lncRNA from 1 species